GGCUCCAUGGUUGAUCUUCAGAGUUGUAAUAUAUUGAUAAAUGCAUGUUGCAAGGGUGGAGAGGUCGAUAAGGCCAACACGAUUUUCAGUAUAUUACCCUUUGCUUUUAUCAAUAUGCUACAACUAUGAACAUCCACUAUGGAACU
rnacentral:pre_miRNA from 1 species